rnacentral:rRNA from 1 species
AACGAACGCUGGCGGCAGGCCUAACACAUGCAAGUCGAACGUGAAGCCACCUUCGGGUGGUGGAAAGUGGCAGACGGGUGAGUAACGCGUGGGAACGUGCCUUUCGGUUCGGGAUAACCCAGGGAAACUUGGGCUAAUACCGGAUACGCCCUUCGGGGGAAAGAUUCAUUGCCGAAAGAUCGGCCCGCGUCGGAUUAGCUAGUUGGUGGGGUAAAAGCCUACCAAGGCGACGAUCCGUAGCUGGUCUGAGAGGAUGACCAGCCACACUGGGACUGAGACACGGCCCAGACUCCUACGGGAGGCAGCAGUGGGGAAUAUUGGACAAUGGGCGCAAGCCUGAUCCAGCCAUGCCGCGUGGGUGAAGAAGGCCCUAGGGUUGUAAACCCCUUUCAGCGGGGAAGAUAAUGACGGUACCCGCAGAAGAAGCCCCGGCUAACUCCGUGCCAGCCGCCGCCGUAACAC